CCAGACUCCUACGGGAGGCAGCAGUGGGGAAUCUUCCGCAAUGGACGAAAGUCUGACGGAGCAACGCCGCGUGAGUGAUGACGGCCUUCGGGUUGUAAAGCUCUGUUAAUCGGGACGAAAGGCCUUCUUGCGAAUAGUGAGAAGGAUUGACGGUACCGGAAUAGAAAGCCACGGCUAACUACGUGCCAGCAGCCGCGGUAAUACGUAGGUGGCAAGCGUUGUCCGGAAUUAUUGGGCGUAAAGCGCGCGCAGGCGGAUAGGUCAGUCUGUCUUAAAAGUUCGGGGCUUAACCCCGUGAUGGGAUGGAAACUGCCAAUCUAGAGUAUCGGAGAGGAAAGUGGAAUUCCUAGUGUAGCGGUGAAAUGCGUAGAUAUUAGGAAGAACACCAGUGGCGAAGGCGACUUUCUGGACGAAAACUAACGCUGAGGCGCGAAAGCCAGGGGAGCGAACGGGAUUAGAUACCCCGGUAGUCCUGGCCGUAAACGAUGGGUACUAGGUGUAGGAGGUAUCGACCCCUUCUGUGCCGGAGUUAACGCAAUAAGUACCCCGCCUGGGGAGUACGACCGCAAGGUUGAAACUCAAAGGAAUUGACGGGGGCCCGCACAAG
rnacentral:rRNA from 1 species